UAUGGUGGAAUUAACUUAAGGUUUUAAUCUCAGUUUGCCCAGAUGCUUUUUUUUUCAUUUUCUUUAUUCAUUUCACUUGGCUAUGAGCUGAACAAAAAAUCUGGAAAAUGCAUUUUUUUCUUUUUGUUUAUGGAUUUGAGUCAUUUUGUUUGAACUUUCUUAAUCAGGUUGUCUCUGUUUUUGUUCACUCAUGAUAGUUGUUGAUCAUGACCGUGGGUUGCAUCAAGUACAGAAGGAGCCCUCUGUGUUUGGGAUUAGUUAUUUAAACUCUUGAUUGAUAGCUUGUUGAAUUCUUAAUAAGAGACCUGUUAUAUGUGUGAAGAUUAAAGCUAAAUAAUCAUUGACAGCUCAAGUUUUUAAAUAAUAUAUAUCAUUUCAAGCGUCAAGAAUAAUAAAGAACAACUAGGCCUGUCGCUGUGGCUGUGUUUCUUAAAGCUUUCGAAGCGACUUGGCGCGUGUUCGAGACUCCACUCUCACGUCCUUUGGGAACAAGGUGGAGAAGCUUUGGGAUCUUUCAAACAUUACUGUGAAUAAGCAAGCUGUGUUUGGUGACAACAGUUCUUUGGCUCCAGCAGGUGUUUGUAUUGGUAUGUUUUUCAUCACCCAUAUAUACAUGUACUUAAGUAAUGCUCACAGCGUAUUAUAGGAGAAGCUGAAUGAGGUUGGAUGACAAUGUAAAAUUCAAGAAAGAAAGCAUGUAAAAUAGGUCAAAUAAACAGAUAGAUGGGGUUCGAUGGAUUCGGCGGUCAAGCAAGUUAGAAAUGAGAUCAAGGGAUGGUCAGUUCCAAACACGGGUCCGAAUGGUGUUUUGGAGUAAGUUAGCAGUGCCUAAGAUACACUGCAUCCGGCUGCCAUGGCUUUAGCAACUAGAGGCCUGGCGUAUGGCGAUAGUACAUGCCCUAUGUGCGGUGUGGCAGACGAGACGGCUGACCAUCUAUUAGCCAACUGUAUGACUACCAACGCAGUUUGUUGGAUGGUGUGCGUUUGGGAUAAAUCCCGAUGCCCAGCAGCUUUGAAAUUGUGAAGACGUUACUCGAUCAUGCCCAUAAUGUUGGCAGAUCAACUAAGGAGAAAUAAUAACGGGAUGACCCACUUAGAUACUAAUAUGUUGGAAGAGUUAAGGAGCACUCAUACGGUUGGAUGGUGUAUAGGGCCAAAUGCCCCUUGCUUUGGAAAAUUGGACCCAGCUUUGAGUCUGUAGUGUCUAAUUAGCUUUGUGUAUUGGUUUUGCUUUGUUUGGGGUCUAUUGAAAUGGCUUAGCUGCUUGCUAAGUUUUGUCUUUGUUUGGUUAAUAAAGUUUCUCCUUUUGUUGGGCAAAAAAAAAAAAAA